rnacentral:ncRNA from 1 species
AUGACAAAUACUUGGAGAACCAGGGAGGCUUGGACGAUACAGGUACAGUGAUAUCUGGAACAAAAGUAUUAAGGGCGGAGUAAAUAGAACUAUAAAACGAGUUAACAGUUGCAGAUAGAAGUAGAAGUGUUUGGCGUAAGCCUUCAUGGAGCUGCCAUUGGCACAGAUCUUGGUGGUAGUAGCAAAUAAUCGAAUGAGACCUUGGAGGACUGAAGUGGAGAAGGGUUUCGUGUGAACAGUGGUUGAUCACGAGUUAGUCUGUCCUAAGUUCAAGGCGAAAGCCGAAAAUUUUCAAGUAAAAAAUCAGUGAGUAAUAUUGUCAAAUCUUCUAUGAUUUUUAAAUACUUGAAUAAUUUUGAACGAAAGGGAAUACGGUGCCAAUUCCGUAACCUGUUGAGUAUCCGUUUGUUAUUAAAUAUGGGCCUCGUGCUCAUCUUGGCAACAGGAACGACCAUAAAAAAUCCGUCGAGAGAUAUCGGAAGAGUUUUCUUUUCUGUUUUAUAGCCGUACUAUUAUGGAAGUCUUUCGCAGAGAGAUAUGGUAGAUGGGCUAGAAGAGCAUGACAUAUACUGUUGUGUCGAUAUUUUCUCCUCGCACCUUGAAAAUUUAUAGUGGGGACACGCAAACUUCUCAACAGGCCGUACCAAUAUCCGCAGCUGGUUUCCAAUGUGAAGAGUCUCUAGUCAAUAGAAUAAUGUAGGUAAGGGAAGUCGGCAGAUUAGAUCCGUAACUUCGGGAUAAGGAUUGGUUUUGAAGAUUGAGAUAGUCGGGCUUGAUUGGAAAACAAUAACAUUGUUUAUGUGCUCGUUCUGGGUAAAUAGAGUUUCUAUCAUUUAUGGUAGUUACUUGUUCCCCGGAUAGUGUACGUUACGUAGCCAAUUGUGGAACUUUCUUGCUAAAAUUUUUAAGAAUACUCAUUGGGUUAAACCAGUUAGUUCUUAUUAAUUAUAACGAUUAUCAAUUAACAAUCAAUUCAGAACUGGCACGGACUUGGAAAUCCCACUGUCUAAUUAAAACAAAGAAUUGCGAUGGCCCUAGCGGGUGUUGACACAAUGUGAUUUCUGCCCAGUGUAUCAAUGUCAAAGUAAAGAAAUUCAAGUAAGCACGGGUCAACGGCGGGAGUAACUUUGACUCUCUUAACUUUAACUCUCUUCUCUCUUUGACUAUCCUGGCAGUACUACAGGGGUACCCUCCUGUGGUAUGCGAUGACCGAUGGAGAGUUGAGGUUUUGCAAUCCAUCGUAGAUGGAGCGCAGGAAAUGUAAGGAAAUUAAGGAAAUCGUGUAAGGAAAUUACUCUUCAGCGCUUGUCUACUUACCUUUUGGAAAUUUUUCCUUCACAGAAUGACCGCCCCAUUCAAGCGAGACCUCCACGGACACCUCGA